GAUGAACGCUGGCGGCGUGCCUAAUACAUGCAAGCCGAGCGAACGGACGAGAAGCUUGCUUCUCUGAUGUUAGCGGCGGACGGGUGAGUAACACGUGGAUAACCUACCUAUAAGACUGGGAUAACUUCGGGAAACCGGAGCUAAUACCGGAUAAUAUUUUGAACCGCAUGGUUCAAAAGUGAAAGACGGUCUUGCUGUCACUUAUAGAUGGAUCCGCGCUGCAUUAGCUAGUUGGUAAGGUAACGGCUUACCAAGGCAACGAUGCAUAGCCGACCUGAGAGGGUGAUCGGCCACACUGGAACUGAGGCACGGUCCAGACUCCUACGGGAGGCAGCAGUAGGGAAUCUUCCACAAUGGGCGAAAGCCUGACGGAGCAACGCCGCGUGAGUGAUGAAGGUCUUCGGAUCGUAAAACUCUGUUAUUAGGGAAGAACAUAUGUGUAAGUAAAUGUGCACAUCUUGACGGUACCUAAUCAGAAAGCCACGGCUAACUACGUG
rnacentral:rRNA from 1 species